rnacentral:rRNA from 1 species
CAUGCAAGUCGAACGGAAAGGCCUCUUCGGAGGUACUCGAGUGGCGAACGGGUGAGUAACACGUGGGCAAUCUGCCCUGCACUUCGGGAUAAGCCCGGGAAACUGGGUCUAAUACCGAAUAGGACCUUAAGACGCAUGUCUUUUGGUGGAAAGCUUUUGCGGUGUGGGAUGGGCCCGCGGCCUAUCAGCUUGUUGGUGGGGUGACGGCCUACCAAGGCGACGACGGGUAGCCGGCCUGAGAGGGUGUCCGGCCACACUGGGACUGAGAUACGGCCCAGACUCCUACGGGAGGCAGCAGUGGGGAAUAUUGCACAAUGGGCGCAAGCCUGAUGCAGCGACGCCGCGUGGGGGAUGACGGCCUUCGGGUUGUAAACCUCUUUCAAUAGGGACGAAGGGUGACUGACGGUACCUAUAGAAGAAGCACCGGCCAACUACGUGCCAGCAGCCGCGGUAAUACGUAGGGUGCGAGCGUUGUCCGGAUUACUGGGCGUAAAGAGCUCGUAGGUGGUUUGUCGCGUUGUUCGUGAAAACUCACA